rnacentral:tRNA from 1 species
GGGGUUGUAGCUCAGUGGUGGAGCACUUGCCUAGCAUGUGUGAGGUACUAAAUUCAAUCCUUAGCACCACA